rnacentral:rRNA from 1 species
AACGUACGCUGGCGGCACGCCUAACACAUGCAAGUCGAACGAAGUAGCAAUACUUAGUGGCAGACGGGUGAGUAACAUGUGGGUAUCUGCCCUUUGGCCUGGAAUAACACGAGGAAACUUGUGCUAAUACCGGAUAAGUCUUUACGGAGAAAGCUUUAUGCACCAUUGGAUGAGCCCGCACUUGAUUAGUUUGUUGGUAGGGUAAUGGCCUACCAAGACUGUGAUCAAUAGCUGAUUUGAGAGGAUGAUCAGCCACAUUGGGACUGAGACACGGCCCAAACUCCUACGGGAGGCAGCAGUGGGGAAUCUUGCACAAUGGAGGAAACUCUGAUGCAGCGAUGCCGCGUGAGUGAAGAAGGCCCUUGGGUUGUAAAGCUCUUUCGUCGGGGAAGAAAAUGACUGUACCCGAAUAAGAAGGUCCGGCUAACUUCGUGCCAGCAGCCGCGGUAAUACGAAGGGACCUAGCGUAGUUCGGAAUUACUGGGCUUAAAGAGUUCGUAGGUGGUUGAAAAAGUUGGUGGUGAAAUCCCAGAGCUUAACUCUGGAACUGCCAUCAAAACUUUUCAGCUAGAGUUUGAUAGAGGAAAGCAGAAUUUCUAGUGUAGAGGUGAAAUUCGUAGAUAUUAGAAAGAAUACCAAUUGCGAAGGCAGCUUUCUGGAUCAUUACUGACACUGAGGAACGAAAGCAUGGGUAGCGAAGAGGAUUAGAUACCCUCGUAGUCCAUGCCGUAAACGAUGUGUGUUAGACGUUGGAAAUUUAUUUUCAGUGUCGCAGCGAAAGCGAUAAACACACCGCCUGGGGAGUACGACCGCAAGGUUAAAACUCAAAUGAAUUGACGGGGACCCGCACAAGUAGUGGAGCAUGUGGUUUAAUUCGAAGAUACGCGCAGAACCUUACCAACACUUGACAUGUUCGUCGCGACUUUAAGAGAUUAAAGUUUUCGGUUCGGCCGGACGAAACACAGGUGCUGCAUGGCUGUCGUCAGCUCGUGUCGUGAGAUGUUGGGUUAAGUCCCGCAACGAGCGCAACCCUCACUUUUAGUUGCCAUCAUUAAGUUGGGCACUCUGAAAGAACUGCCAGUGAUAAGCUGGAGGAAGGUGGGGAUGACGUCAAGUCCUCAUGGCCCUUACGUGUUGGGCUACACACGUGCUACAAUGGUAUCUACAACAGGAAGCAAGACUGCGAAGUUAAGCAAAUCCCUAAAAGAUACCUCAGUUCGGAUUGCACUCUGCAACUCGAGUGCAUGAAGCUGGAAUUACUAGUAAUCGUGGAUCAGCGUGCCACGGUGAAUGCGUUCCCGGGUCU